AUGAGGCUCAAGCAAUACAUCGAAUUAUUUCACCAAUCCCUCUCUCCCUUCCAACAAGCACGAUCAUCAUCUUUCAGAGUAAUGUCCAAAAAGGCAAAGAAAGUUCAGAGUUCUCAGCCUUUCGGGCCCGGGGGAGGAUUGGAAUUGAAAGAUGGUGUUGAUGCAUCUGGAAGGCCAGCCAAGGGGAAGGGCGUCUACCAGUUUGCCAGCAAGUAUGGAGCAAAUGUUGAUGGGUACAACCCAAUAUAUAACCCAGAAGAAUGGUCUCCAAGUGGUGACUACUAUGCGGGAGGUAAGCACACACAAGUAUCCGGAAACAAUGAUCUUAAAGCUCUCGCUUCAGUUGACUCUUUUCUUUGGGAAAGAAAUAACAUUCAUGCCUUGGUUUAUGCAGGAAAGACAGGGUUGUUGCUCUGGGUGGUUACUCUUGCUGGAAUUCUGCUGGGUGGUGCUCUGCUUGUUUACAAUACUAGUGAUUUGGCUUCUUGA
rnacentral:rRNA from 1 species